rnacentral:rRNA from 1 species
AUUGAACGCUGGCGGCAGGCUUAACACAUGCAAGUCGAGCGGGGUGAUGGUGCUUGCACUAUCACUUAGCGGCGGACGGGUGAGUAAUGCUUAGGAAUCUGCCUAUUAGUGGGGGACAACAUCUCGAAAGGGAUGCUAAUACCGCAUACGUCCUGCGGGAGAAAGCAGGGGAUCACUUGUGACCUUGCGCUAAUAGAUGAGCCUAAGUCGGAUUAGCUAGUUGGUGGGGUAAAGGCCUACCAAGGCGACGAUCUGUAGCGGGUCUGAGAGGAUGAUCCGCCACACUGGGACUGAGACGCGGCCCAGACUCCUACGGGAGGCAGCAGUGGGGAAUAUUGGACAAUGGGGGGAACCCUGAUCCAGCCAUGCCGCGUGUGUGAAGAAGGCCUUAUGGUUGUAAAGCACUUUAAGCGAGGAGGAGGCUCUUUUGGUUAAUACCCAAGAUGAGUGGACGUUACUCGCAGAAUAAGCACCGGCUAACUCUGUGCCAGCCGCCGCAGUAA